rnacentral:rRNA from 1 species
AUUGAACGCUGGCGGCAUGCCUUACACAUGCAAGUCGAACGGUAACAGGGAGCUUGCUCCGCUGACGAGUGGCGAACGGGUGAGUAAUAUAUCGGAACGUACCUUUGAGUGGGGGAUAACUAGUCGAAAGACUAGCUAAUACCGCAUACGAUCUACGGAUGAAAGUGGGGGCUCGCAAGACCUCAUGCUCAUAGAGCGGCCGAUAUCUGAUUAGCUAGUUGGUGAGGUAAAGGCUCACCAAGGCAUCGAUCAGUAGCUGGUCUGAGAGGACGACCAGCCACACUGGGACUGAGACACGGCCCAGACUCCUACGGGAGGCAGCAGUGGGGAAUUUUGGACAAUGGGGGCAACCCUGAUCCAGCAAUGCCGCGUGAGUGAAGAAGGCCUUCGGGUUGUAAAGCUCUUUUGUCAGGGAAGAAACGGGGGAUCCUAAUACGGUCCCCUAAUGACGGUACCUGAAGAAUAAGCACCGGCUAACUAC